rnacentral:rRNA from 1 species
UACGUAGGGGGCAAGCGUUGUCCGGAUUUAUUGGGCGUAAAGAGCGUGUAGGCGGCCAGACAGGUCCGUUGUGAAAACUCGAGGCUCAACCUCGAGACGUCGACGGAAACCGUCUGGCUAGAGUCCGGAAGAGGAGAGUGGAAUUCCUGGUGUAGCGGUGAAAUGCGCAGAUAUCAGGAAGAACACCCGUGGCGAAGGCGGCUCUCUGGGACGGUACUGACGCUGAGGUGCGAAAGCGUGGGGAGCAAACAGG